CACCCGCCUCGACCUUCCAAAGUGCUGGGAUUACAGGUGUGAGCCACCGCUCCCAGCUAAAAAUUCUUAUAAAUUUUCAGGAAUACAUACAGCUGGUAAGUAUGGAAAAGGAGCCAGGUGUAGUGGUGCCACCUACAGUCCCAGCUAUGCAUGUAGUCCCAGCUACUUGGGAGGCUGAAGCAGGACGAUUGCUUAAGUCUAGGAGUUUGAGGUUGCAGUGCACUAUGAUCGGGUCUGUGAAUAGCUACAGCACUACAUUCUGAGCAACAUAGUGAAACUCUGUCUUAUAAAAUAUAUAUGUGUGUGUAUAUAAGGAAAACAAGAGAAUGAUGGAUAUCUUGAGAGAUGGAACACAUAGCUAGAUUUAUUGCCAAGUUAUUCCCAAGGUCCUAGCUUUCAUGCUGAUUAUUUCUUUUUUUUUUUUUUUUUUGAGACGGAGUCUUGCUCUGUCGCCUAGGCUGGAG
rnacentral:lncRNA from 1 species